UGGCCUAGCUGGGAAGCAGGAAACCAAAACUGAAGUAAAAGAAGCCGGAGGCACUAAGUGUGCCACAAGGAGAAACAAGUUAGAACAGAAUGCGGUUUAGAGGUAUCAACGACCUUCCCUGUAAGGAAAUGGAGAUUUCUGACGUUGCAAAUGACUUGCCCAAGAUCAUGCAAUCUGUAACUGGUAAGCAGCAAAACUGGGACUUGUACCCACCAGCAUUCACUGCCAUAGUUUUGAACUAUAUUAAGGUUCAGAACUUAACGAUGGUUUUUCAGGACCAUAGUCCUAUGAGUAUUAAGGAUUUAGAUAUGCAUGUCGAUGCAUAUACACGGUUGCUAAGUUUAGAAGGAUGGACUAGAUGGUUUUCUUUAGAUGUCUGCCUGGCAUGUGACUGAUGACACAAUUGGUUCAACAAGCAUUCUAUUAGGUGUCAAGCAUUGUGGAAGAAUCUUAUCGCAUCUUGUUUACUCAAUUUAGCCUAUAGAUACCCAUUUCUGGUUUUAGUCUGAACGCCAGACAUCCAGAAGUCUGCCAUUGGAUGCUUUUGCUGCUUGCAAAUGUUUUCUGCCUCGCUGCUCUGCCUACUUCUCGUCUCCUCAAAGAUCAGUGGAAGGAGAGAAGAUUCUGGAAACGCAGGCCAUGUGCCAGCUCUCUUCUCUAACACUGUGUCCUAGCAUAACCUGUUCUGCUGCUGAGUCCUCAGUGAGAGAGGAUGCCGGCAUGGCUGCUUGGCCAGCCCUCAGGGUGUUAGGGAGGAAGACAGCAGAAACCCAGGGACAGCCAUGGUGGAGACGGAGCAAUCUAACCCCCGAGGCGCGGGGAGCAGAUGAAGGAAAGGAUGCCCUGGGAGGCACACCAGAGCAGAGGCGAGCUCCCACCAGUUUCUAUGUGAGGAUGCACAUUUGGCCUCCAGAAGCACCUGAGUAUCUGCCCCGGCAGCCCGACUGGAAUGUCAGCCCUUCACACGUAGAAGGCCUCAUGAAUACUUGUCCUGAGUGUUUAUUUAUUCAUUAUCCAAAGGGAAGCUGGGUAAAGCGCCAUGACCUCUAGAUUCCCUGAGAGUCUUGACUGCAAGCAUGAUUGUUCCAUUGUCAGGCUUUGUAUAUGACAAGUCUAUGACGUGUCUUAUCAUUAAUCCCUCAUACAAAUACGGAACUAAGCGAAAUACCUCAUCUAAGGAUCUAUAAAUGUGGCAGCGUGCUCUAUCGGAAAGGAUGUGACCUUUGGAAUCCAACAUACCUGGGUUUGACACUUGGCUUUUCUCUGUAAAGUACUUUGGACAUUAAAUGAGAAAAUAAAUGCAGAGCUCCUCACAUGAGGCGUAGAACAAUGCAGAUACUCAUCAAUGUCAGCACCUUCACGAAUAUGGCCUUUUUUAUUCCCAAAGAAGACACUGGGUCAAUGGUAUGGGAUUUAAGGUCCAUAUUUGAGUGGGUGAACCCACGACUUUAUCUACAAGGACUUUACAAAGAACACUUAACAUUUUGCCCGAGUGGAAAGACCGCAGCCCAUUUCAGAAGGAAGGAGCGCCGUUUCCAUGUCAGACAUAGGCCCGGACCGUCGCUUACCUCCCUCUCCGAAUAGAAGAAGAGGUCCUCAUGCAGUUCCCCAUCAGUCAGAGCGAUGAUGACGCUGGCUGUCCUGUAUCCUGCUCAAACAACACAGACCCACUCAGUUCAUCCCGCUGCACCAAGGGAAACCCCCUCUCGGCCCUGGGAGUCUGUCUCUUCGCGGCUCCCCCACCCAAGAUGAAGAAACAGAGGCACAGAGAGGUAAGGACCUUUCCCAUGGACUCAGACCCCAUGAUAUUCUCUCUCCAUCAACAGGACAAGAGAAUAAAUAAAUGCUCCCCUCCAUGUCUCCUAAUUUUGCCAUCUAAUCUUCUUGUACCUGAACGAAUAGUACUUUAAAAUGGAAUGAAUCCAGAGGCUUUCAAGCACAAAGUAUCUGAAGACUCUUUUUCUCUCUUGUUAUUUUUAAACUUAGAAAAAGCUUUUAGAACUAUGUCUCUUGGUAAUGACAGCCUGUAUUCAUUCUUCUCCAGGAAUCAAGUGAUGUGUUCAAAAUAUGUCAUUUUCCCCUGUGAUACUGAUGGCAAAACCACACUCUUCAAACCAAACCAAAGGCUGGCUGAGAGGGAUAGAGAAGUGUGGUCUCUUGGUUUCCACUCAGCAGUUUGAGCCAAGCGUUCCUGGCUUUUACUUCGGCUCCUUAAAACCAAUGGGGAACAAAGACAUGGAAAAAAUGGGGACUAGCUCAGAUGUGCUGUCUCCCCUUGUGAGGGUCUUAAGGAUAUUUGCCUCUCCAGGAUCUACCUGUUUGUUGGAUGGAAGGAAAGAAGAGCGUGGGGAGACGUCUCUAUUGCUCAUGGAUGUCUCCUGAUCUUUUGCCAGCUGGACAGCACCUCUUCCGGUCUCGUCUGGAUGAACAGCCUGGGCCUGAGGCUCAGACGGCUCCAGCCAAUUCCUGUGAUCCUAUGUGAACCCGAGGAACCUUCCCAGAAGAGUCAAGGAUUCUAGAGCACAGCUCCUUGGUGAACGGGCCUACCUAAUCAUCAACAGUAGAUGUCUGGGCUUAAUGCGAGCUGGGGGGUCUCCCCCAAAGCUCACCAGAACAGCAUAUCCCAGCCCUGCGCUUUUAAAGCUUUGGGAAGCCUUUUAUUAGAAUCCCAGCCAUCCUCCUGGACAAACUUCCGUUGUAUAUUUCAAAUCUCAAAGACUGGUCCUGGCUCCUCUUCUUCAGCUAUGGGGUAGAUGCUCUGGCUGGCGAUCCUAGUGAGGGUCUGGCAGAUCUGGCCCAAUGCUGUAUAGGUGCUUCAGACGAGGCACUGUGUGACUGCUACUCCAGUUAUAAUUCUACAACUCCUUUCCACUGGAAGCAAGAGACUUCCUUGAACACGGAUUGUCUGUGCCCACUUCUGAAAUACAAUUCUGUGUUUUGGCCCAUAUCACCGAAACAAGUACCAUCUGAAAUUUUGGGUCCUGAGGGGUAGGGUAAGACACCUAUGAUUAGGGAGGAAUCCCCACAGCUCCUCUAUUCCAUGGUUGAUUUUCUCAUUGGUAGAGAAGUCCUGUAGUGUGGGAAUUAAACUGGGAGGGGAGGCAAAGUAUAGGUAAAACAGGGACUUGAACUAGAACUGGGGGUCUGUUUUUGGCUGUCUGCUAAAGGAGCAGGGGUUUCGAGUAAAUCCUUUUUGAGUUUAUUUCUUUGUUUUCAAGGAUUGGCCGCAAAUCAUUUGCGUUCCUUUACUUAUUAAAAAGGGUCACCCAAUGUUAAUUUA